rnacentral:rRNA from 1 species
AUUGAACGCUGGCGGCAGGCCUAACACAUGCAAGUCGCACGAGUGGCGGAAGGGAGAGUAAUGUCUGGGAAACUGCCUGAUGGAGGGGGCUAACUACUGGAAACGGUAGCUAAUACCGCAUACCAUCAGAUGUGCCCAGAUGGGAAGAGCUAGUUGGGGGGGUAACGGCUCACCAAGGCGACGAUCCCUAGCUGGUCGGAGAGGAUGACCAGCCACACUGGAACUGAGCCACGGUCCAGACUCCUACGUGAGGCAGCAGUGGGAAAUAUGGCACAAGGGGCGCAAGCCUGAUGCAGCCAUGCCGCGUGUAGGAAGAAGGCCUUCGGGUUGUAAAGUACUUUCAGCGGGGAGGCGUUACCCGCAGAAGAAGCACCGGCUAACUCCGUGCCAGCAGCCGCGGUAAUAC